AACUUAAUGAAGGUAUGAUGUUUUUGUGGACAUUGGGGGGUCGUGAAGACUCUAUCAGUGAGUAUUUGUUCUCGGAAGGGCCAUAUAUGAAUUUUGAAUAAUCGGACAUAGUACGAUAAGGUUGUAUGUCUAAAGGGAAACAGCCCAGAACAAGAGUUAAUAAGGUUCCAAAAUUAUUGUUAAGUGAAAUUAAAGUAGUAUUUAUCCAAAACGAUCAGGGAAUAGGCUUAGAAGCGGCCACUUUUUGAAGAUCUCGUAACAGAGCACUGGUUUUACUUACAUAGUUCUAUUGUAUAAAAACAGGGAUAAAAGCACUGAAAAUUCAACGGAUCUAAACAAUAUACCGAUACCUUGUCUAUACAUAUAUACGUAUGUGUGGGGUAGCAGAACGUUGGGUAAUUUACUGCUCUGCUUUAGGUCUCUUUGAGAUACUAGAGGGUAUUAUUAAAAAAUCCCAAGUGAGAAUGCUGACAUGAGUAACGAUAAAGGGAGAAAGCAGAUGCUAAUGCGGUAUCCCUUCGCCUUAAGCUUAUGGUAUUUAUUAAAGUCACGGCCUCUAAGUUUCGGUAUCUUAUUGUGACCACAUGAUAAAAAGCUUUUUGUCUAUGUAUUUGUGUGUUGAUCAAUAGACAAAUAUAAGGGUAAAAACAAGUAUAGUAUCUUUCGAUUUAUCUCUUGAUUAAUGAGGAGUAAGCACUUACUUAUAAAGCACUUAUUAUUAAAUAUACACUUAAUAAGUGUACAUUGAUAAGAAUCCUAAUAAGAUACCUAGAUCAAAAGGUAGAAACGAUGAGCAAAUCUAUAGUAUACAGAAAACAACAUAUUAAACUUAUAAACUAUUUAAUUUUUUUUUCUUGUUUAUUCAUAAAAUUUUAAUCCAAGUUACAAAGUUGCUAGUGCGAUAUGUUCUGGAAAACUGUAAAUAGUGAUAGAGCAACUUAGGCAAUUUUUAGUGGCAUAAAAGAUUUUAUGUUAAGACAUAUUCAUAUUGUAUCUUACAAUUUGUCUUGCUCUGCCC
rnacentral:rRNA from 1 species